rnacentral:lncRNA from 1 species
AGAUGGUCCGGUUGGUUAUGGAAGAAAAGGCAGCAGGAGAAAUUUGUACCUCCUAUCCCAACAACAAAAACGUGGAAGGAUUCGAGAUGGAAACCUAAUCUAUAUUCAAUAGAGGAGAUUUCUCCAUGAGUAUCUUUUCCCGGUAUGUCAUUUUUUCAUGAAGUUUAAAACCUAAUCUAUAUUCAAUAGAGGAGAAUUCUCCAUGAGUAUCUUUUCCCGGUAUGUCAAUUUUUCAUGAAGUUUAACUGCAAAGCUCUAUCUUUAGCUAAGGAGAGAUAAUGGUCAGUUUUGCUAGAUUGUGUUCUUUUCCCAUUGCACUCUCUCAAAUUUUUUUUUUUGGAUGUCAUUAUUUGUGUUAGU